rnacentral:lncRNA from 1 species
AUGUGUACCUGUCGCAUCCCUUGCACCUUGUCUUAUGGAGCAGGUCAGGACUUGUGGUUAGCUACUGCGCUGGUCAAAAAGUGCUGGGGGACUUUAAAAUUCUGCCUAGAUGACCCACCCCGCAGAGACCUCAAUAUAAUGUUUCAGCCAGAGGGCACCUCUGCCAGUGCAGCCCCCUCCUCCUCUCAGCAUGGCACGGCCAGUUUCAGUGUUGGGUAUAUGCCCAGGUCCUCUGGUGGGAGUUGGAGUGGGGAGUAUUUGUGUCUUAAUAAAAUAACUUCUUCUGGCCCAGGCCGGGCUGAGUCGCUGCUGCACUGGCCUGAGGAGUGGCUGCAGGACGGCAGCGCGGCCCAUUCAUUGCUUUACGGCCAGCUGGGAGCGACUCUGGAUCCGAGCCGGCUUCUUUCGGUGGAAUGAGUGAGGCCGGUGGCUUUCGUCAGCUGCUGCCUGUGAUACGCGGCUGGAGUCUAGAAACGUGCUAGAUCCUUCACAAAGUAAAGACACGUCCAGACAAGCUCUCUGCCCCAGAAAGCGUCCAGCCUCCAUUCUGCACGACGCAGCAAAGGCAAGUCAGAAGGAUGAAAAGCGGGAAGGGGAGAGGACAGCCCAAGGUGACCGUGGUAAGAUCAGCACCUCAGCGUCUUCUGCCCAGCACCUUUCAUCUGGGGACCCCCAAAGCACGUUACAGACCUUCCUUGGGCCUGGCAGCAUGCCUGCAAUGAAGGGCAUUGUAAGAACUCUCCUUCUGUGGAUCAAAGUUUAGGCUCCUCUGAUUUGGGAGGCCCAAUCUGAGACCCCCUUUGGGCCAGAUUUUCAGAGGCGUUGAGCCCCUGCCGCUCCCAUCAGGCCGGAUCCUCAGUUGGCAUAAAUUGGUAUAGCCCCUUCCAUGGAGCAAACACUGCUUUACAUCAGCUGGGGAUCUGACCCCUUGACAGCAAUGGUUUUCCAGGCAGCUUCAGCAGCUCUUUAACCCCUUCAUGACUGCGGGGCUCUAUCUCAGCAGCAGUGCAUGUGGACGCAGGGCCGGCUCCAGACACCAGCAAAGAAAGCAGGUGCUUGGGGCGGCCAACGGAAAGGGGCGGCACGUCCGGGUCUUCGGCGGCGGGUCCCUCAGUCCCUCUGGGAGCGAAGGACCCGCCGCCGAAUUGCCGCCGAAGACUGAAGCAGCGCGGUAGAGCUGCCGCCGAAGUGCCGCCCAUCGUGGCUUUAUCUUUUUUUUAUUUUUAUUUUUUUCCCCGCUUCGCCGCUUGGGGCGGCAAAAAAGCUGGAGCCGGCCCUGGGUGGACAGUUCGUGCCCAAGGACGGAAUGCCGGGACGUGGCAAUGGUGGUAAUGAGCAAACAGCACUGCCGAAACAGCCCGGGUGAGCAAAAAGCAGCAAGGAAAGGGUUACGUGGCGGGUGUCAUACGUACCAAACUCCUGCCGAGGGCCAGUGACCUUGUCUGUACUUGGCAUUUGCCCAGCAACUGCU